CUUGCCUAAAUUGUUGUAGUAGGCCACGUGCACGUGGAUUUAUAUCUCCACUACUUCUGGUAUUUGCAAUUUUUUCAAGUGUUUCCAAAAUCAGCUGGUAAUUAUCCAGAAUUUUUUUCACAGGCUUCACUCUAACAGUCCAGCGUGUUGGGCACAAUGGUUUAAUAUGCAAGACUUUAAUAGGCCCUUCAGCUUCACGAUGCACAAUUUCUGAAAAUGUGUUUCUGCAUUUCAUAGAUUGCCCAAAGAGUUUGCCAAGAUCUUGCACAAACAUAAGUGCAUCUUCCAUUAUUGGACAUUGAUGUGCUGCGGCCUGCAUAACUAAAUUUGUGCAAUGUGCAUCGCAAUGGACAUAAAUGGCAAGUGGUUGUUCCUGCUUGAUUAAUGCCUGGGUACCAUGAUAUUUACCAGCCAUAUUUGAAGCUCCAUCAUAUAUUUGCCCUCUCAACAUUGACAUACAAAGCCCAU